rnacentral:rRNA from 1 species
AGAGUUUGAUCCUGGCUCAGGACGAACGCUGGCGGCGUGCCUAACACAUGCAAGUCGAACGGAGAAUUUCAAAGAGCUUGCUUAGAGAAAUUUUUAGUGGCGGACGGGUGAGUAACGCGUGGGUAACCUACCCAUAAACCCGGGACAACCCUUGGAAACGAGGGCUAAUACCGGAUAAUCUUUGAGAGUGGCAUCACUCUUUAAGAAAAGGUGGCCUCUGAAAAUGCUACCGAUUAUGGAUGGACCCGCGUCUGAUUAGCUAGUUGGUGGGGUAAAGGCCUACCAAGGCGACGAUCAGUAGCCGGCCUGAGAGGGUGAACGGCCACACUGGGACUGAGACACGGCCCAGACUCCUACGGGAGGCAGCAGUGGGGAAUCUUCCGCAAUGGACGAAAGUCUGACGGAGCAACGCCGCGUGUAUGAUGAAGGUCUUCGGAUUGUAAAGUACUGUCUUUGGGGAAGAACGAUUGGUUUGAAAAUAUUGAGCCAAUAUGACGGUACCCAAGGAGGAAGCCCCGGCUAACUACGUGCCAGCAGCCGCGGUAAUACGUAGGGGGCAAGCGUUGUCCGGAAUUAUUGGGCGUAAAGGGCGCGUAGGCGGAUAGUUAAGUCCGGUGUGAAAGAUCAGGGCUCAACCCUGGAAGUGCAUUUGAAACUGCCAGACUUGAGUACGGGAGAGGGAGGUGGAAUUCCCAGUGUAGAGGUGAAAUUCGUUGAUAUUGGGAGGAACACCGGUGGCGAAAGCGGCCUCCUGGACCGAUACUGACGCUGAGGCGCGAAAGCGUGGGGAGCAAACAGGAUUAGAUACCCUGGUAGUCC